ensembl:lncRNA
AACUUACCAGUGCCACCUGCAGUAAAUUUCACAGCUAAAAGAUAAUGUUUCUUCGUCAAAUGUCUCUCAGUGGCUGGAAUUUUCUUCAAGCAGAAGCGACAGUCGCCACCGGUGGCAAACUUCACUUUACAGAGGACUUUAACAAACUGACAUUACUUGAGAGGAGAAGUAAUCGCUAAACUUAAAUCCUACCAGUGGAGUUGCGUGGCGGGUCUCUGGCCUUGCGGGGAGGACUGAAAUGCGAUGCACCUGGAAAACCAGCAGCUGUAGCAGCAGCAGCAGCAGCAGCAGCAGGACCCGGGGUGCUUUUGAUAGGUUGAGCUACUGCAGAGUAAAGAGAAGCACAAAAGUAAAAACAUUAUUUGACAUCAAACCUACUGAAAUGACUGCGAGCU